GUUUGACCUCAAAUCAGGUAGGAGUACCCGCUGAACUUAA
rnacentral:rRNA from 2 species